UACGUAGGUGGCAAGCGUUGUCCGGAUUUACUGGGCGUAAAGAGCGCGCAGGCGGUCGUUCAAGUCGCGUGUGAAAGCCCCCGGCUCAACUGGGGAGGGUCACGCGAUACUGAUCGACUCGAAGGCAGGAGAGGGAAGUGGAAUUCCCGGUGUAGUGGUGUAAUGCGUAGAUAUCGGGAGGAACACCAGUGGCGAAGGCGACUUCCUGGCCUGUUCUUGACGCUGAGGCGCGAAAGCUAGGGGAGCAAACGGG
rnacentral:rRNA from 1 species